AGAGUUUGAUCCUGGCUCAGAACGAACGCUGGCGGCGUGCUUAAGACAUGCAAGUCGAACGGUAAGGCACCUUCGGGUGUACACGAGUGGCGCACGGGUGAGUAACGCGUGGGUAAUCUGCCUUCGGGUUUGGGACAACUUCGGGAAACUGGAGCUAAUACCAAAUAAGACCACGGGGUCCUUGGACCUUGCGGAAAAAGGUGGCCUCUUCUUGAAAGCUAUCGCCUGUUGAUGAGCCCGCGUCCCAUUAGCUUGUUGGUGAGGUAAAAGCUCACCAAGGCUUCGAUGGGUAGCUGGUCUGAGAGGAUGAUCAGCCACACUGGAACUGAGACACGGUCCAGACUCCUACGGGAGGCAGCAGUCGGGAAUCUUGCACAAUGGGCGAAAGCCUGAUGCAGCAACGCCGCGUGAGGGAUGAAGGCCCUCGGGUCGUAAACCUCUGUCGGGAGGGAAGAACGCGCUUCGGACCAAUACUCCGGAGCGUUGACGUACCUCCAAAGGAAGUGCCGCUAACU
rnacentral:rRNA from 1 species